GAGACAUGAACUUAUCACUUUUUUUUUAAACUAUAUAAACCAGUCUGUCUCUCAUUCUUGUACUCAUUUGUGCCACGAUGGCCUUAUUUCUACACCUCAUUCUCUGCGGGUCUUUAGUUUUUUUGUCGACUUCAGAACUGAUCAUUGAUGUUGUACCGCGUGUGAUAUCAGAACUAACAGCGCAACUUGUGAUCAACUGUUCUAUAACCAACAACCAAGUCCAACAACUAGACCUGAUCAAAUCUCUAUCUCUUUCUCGUUACAAUGAAACUAUCAAAGAAUUUGAGGAUCUUUUUGUAUUAAACUCCUCAACCCUAAACCUGAACCAACUUGAUCAAUCCCAAUAUUUACAACUCAGUUUCGGCAGUCUGUUUAUAACUUUAACUCUACUUAAUCCAACUCAGCUUGAUGCUAAAGUCUACAGAUGUACUGUCACUGGAGACAACGCCAAUGUAGCAAAUGUUUCCUUGUUCGCUUAUAAGGAGGUAGAGUAUGAAAGAAACUCGACCGCUUUGAUUGAAGAGAUUCGACGUUUGAAGAAAGACGAGAAUGUCUGUCAAUGCUGUUUAAAGAAAGAUGAUCGCUCAGACACCAGUCAAAGUUCAAAAAUUCAAUUCUCUGGAAGCUCUGAAAUUAUUACAGAACUAAUUGAGCCAUUGACAUUAAAAUGUGUAUUUAAGGUACCAAAUCAGGAUCCAAAAGAAACUUCCACACUCCAGUCUCUGUUCAUACUUCAUGAGACCAAUGGUGUCAUAGCAUACGUAAACAAAGGUCAACCUGUUGUUAUAAUCACCAGAGGAGUUCCUUCAAAAAAUGUCAAAGGUAAAAUCUAUGUCAACGAACCGGAAGACUCCUACCUUCAAGUCACGUGGAGCAACCUCAAAUUCUCAGACUCUGGAAAAUAUUUUUGUGAAGCCCAUGUCAAAUAUUCAGGUGGAAGAACCGACAAGCUGAAUGAAAUGUUAACUAUCACAGUCAAAAGUCCAACAAUUGAUGAGUUGGUGAAAGUACUACAGAAACUCGUCACCCAAGUAGAGGAAGACAAGGAUCGUAUACAAGAAAACCAACAAAACAUUAAGAGCAUGAAGAAAGAUUUAGAUCGAAAUGUUGUAGGCAUUAAAAGAGACAUAGAUUCAACUAAACAAAAUAUUGAAAACUUUAGCAACGACGUGGAGUCUACUCUAAAAAUCAUGAAAGAAAGCGUGGAUACAAAUACACGGAAUAUAAGCAAUUUACAAGAGAAUCUGAAGACGAUGGUGGCCAAUAUUUCAACAGCUUUGAUAGAAGUGAAAAAUCAGGUCAAUGAAGUUGAGAAAUUUCACCAGAAAAACUUCAAACCUCCUACAUCGUGCAGUAACCUAGAGAUGUACAGUCUUGAAGAGCGUGAGGUUGUAAAGUUAGCUUCCGGGUUAAAGGUCAUGUGUGACACCAAGACAGACGGCGGUGGAUGGGUCAUUAUCCAGAGAAGAAUCAACGGAAAAGUAGAUUUCUAUAGAGGCUGGCAGGAGUAUCGUGACGGCUUUGGAGAUUACAACAUUGGGGAAUUUUAUCUGGGGAAUGAAAAUAUUUUUAAGUUAACUUCUACUGGACAAUAUGAUUUGAGAAUAGAUUUAGAAUACGGCAAUACCAGAUACUAUGCGCAGUACGAAAACUUUAAAGUUUUGAAUGAGGCUGAGAAAUAUAAACUGCAGAUAGGAGACUAUUCAGGAAAUGCCGCCGAUAGUUUCAGAAGUCAUAACGGCAUGCUUUUUACGACAUUUGAUUAGAGAUAACGACAUUCAGGUCAGGGACAACUGUGCCGUGUUUUGUCAUGGUGGCUGCUGGUACAAUGACUGCCACAAGACCAAUCUAAACGGCAAAUGGGGCAGGUUAUCAUUGGAGGGAAUGGUCUGGCAUGGGAUUACUGGUUUGUUUAAGAGUGUCGCCUUUAGCGAGAUGAAAAUUAGAGAAAGAAAAUAAAACUCUUCAAUUUUUGGAUUUCUCUUAUCUUUAAGAUGUAAAGGAGAAGCCAAUAGAGAAUAAUGUCUUUGUCUUAUGAUAUUGAAAUAAUGUGACAUUUACUUUAACCCAGAGCUUAUACUUGUGCAGGGAAUAAAAUAAAUUGUUUGAUAUGACAAUAA